AAAAUGUAACUGUUUGGCAAUUAUAUAUCAUGCUUCUUCGUCUAAUUGACCCUACGUCGUCUUCGAGAAAUCUUCCAGUGCAAAAAUAUAUUUUGUUUUCGCCAAAAAACAAAUGCGAUAGCGUUUGAAGAGUUUAUAUUGUCAGGAAACAUUCACAGGGAAGAUAGCGAUUGAAAAUCCCAGGUAAGCAUUCAUUGCCUUUUAUUCAUUGUUUUCUGAAAAAUGUUGUUCUCUCCUAUACAAGCGCCAUUAAGCAUCGUUAAGGGGGAGCAUCCAUACUCAACUUGCCACGCAGUGUGACCAGGUUUUUUCAGGGCAAAUUACCACAUCCGGUUUCAAAAAUUACUAUUUUCGGUCUGAAAUUACCACGGUGCUAUAUUUUCCCAAUUUUAGCGUAUUUUUCCCAAAAAUGUUGGCGAGCGGGGAGGGGGGGGGAGCAAAAAAUUUUUUUUCAAAUUAUUAUGAUUUUUUUUAGUGAUACGCAUAUACACACCAAACCGUAGACAAGACAAUCAUCAAACGAAAAUAUUUUCCUAACGGCGUUGGAACUAACGACUUCACUACACGGC